rnacentral:rRNA from 1 species
UACGGAGGAUCCAAGCGUUGUCCGGAUUUAUUGGGUUUAAAGGGUGCGUAGGCGGACCAUUAAGUCAGAGGUGAAAGUUUGCAGCUUAACUGUAAAAUUGCCUUUGAAACUGGCGGUCUUGAGUAUAGUUGAGGUGGGCGGAAUGUGUCAUGUAGCGGUGAAAUGCUUAGAUAUGACAUAGAACACCAAUUGCGAAGGCAGCUCGCUACGCGGUUAUUGACACUGAGGCACGAAAGCGUGGGGAUCAAACAGG